rnacentral:rRNA from 1 species
GGUCAAGCGAACAAGGGCGCAGGGCGAAUGCCUUGGCACUGGGAGCCGAUGAAAGACGUGAUAAGCUGCGAUAAGCUUCGGGGAGCUGCAAAUAAGCAUUGAUCCGGAGAUUUCUGAAUGAGGAAACUCACCUGGGUUCAUACUCAGGUACGUUAUACUGAACUUCAAAAUAGGUAUAUCGGGGGAACCGCCUGAACUGAAACAUCUAAGUAGGGCGAGGAAGAGACAUCAAACGAGAUUCCGUAAGUAGUGGCGAGCGAACGCGGAAGAGGGCAAACCGAGAGUAGAAAUACUUUCGGGGUACGGACUGCUUUUAGGACUUAAUCUGUUAACCGAACGGCAUGGGAAGGCCGGUCAGAGAGUGUGAGAACCACGUAGGUGAAAACGGAGAGAGCUGCGCAGGAUCCAGAGUACGGCCAGACACGUGAAACCUGGUCGGAAUACGGGGGGACCACCCUCCAACCCUAAAUACUACCCAGUGACCGAUAGCGUAUAGUACUGUGAAGGAAAGGUGAAAAGCACCCCGGGAGGGGAGUGAAAAAGAACCUGAAACCCUGUGCCUACAAGCACCUAGAGCGCGUCAAAGCGUGAUAGGGUACUUUUUGUAGAACGGUCCGGCGAGCGAUUGUAUGCAGCAAGGUUAAGGACUUAAGGUCUGGAGCCGAAGCGAAAGCGAGUUUGAAAAGGGCGUUAAGUUGCAUAUAAUGGGCCCGAAACCGGGUGACCUACCCAUGGUCAGGUUGAAGUGGAAGUAAAAUUCCAUGGAGGACCGAACCGACCUCCGUUGAAAAGGCGGCGGAUGAACUGUGGGUAGCGGAGAAAUUCCAAUCGAACCCGGAGAUAGCUGGUUCUCCCCGAAAUAGUUUUAGGACUAGCCUCAAGUUAGAUACCUGGAGGUAAAGCACUGAAUAGCCUAGCGGCCGAGAGGUUAGCGAAGCUUAUCAAACUCAGAAUGCCAGAGUAUUGAUGCUUGGGAGUCAGACAGUGUCAGAUAAAUGUCAUUGUCAAAAGGGAAACAGCCCAGAUCUACAGCUAAGGUCCCAAAGUCAGGUUAAGUGGAAAACGAUGUGAAGAUACGUAGACAACCAGGAUGUUGGCUCAGAAGCAGCCACUCAUUCAAAGAGUGCGUAAUAGCUCACUGGUCGAGCGUCUUUGCGCGGAGAAUUUAACGGGGCUAAACCUGACACCGAAGCUUAGGCAAUACAGCAAUGUAUUGGGUAGGGGAGCGUUGUAUACGCGGUGAAACAGUAGCGCAAGCGGCUGUGGAGUGUAUAGAAGUGAGAAUGCCGGAAUGAGUAGCGCGAAUGCAGUGAGAAUCUGCAUGGCCGAAAGCCUCAGGUUUCUGGAGGAAGGUUCGUCCGCUCCAGGUCAGUCGGGAGCUAAGGUGAGGCCUAACGGCGUAGCCGAUGCACAGACGGUAGAGAUUCCGUCACCACCAAAAGAGUUAAACACAGGGACACAUAUGAAGUCUCGGAGCCGGGUGUUGGUUCCGGUAGCGAUCGAGGGAAGUUAGUACCGAAGUCCGGGAUGGAAGAUGGCGAGAAAAGCUGUGUGUAUUUCUGCGGUGCCCGUACCGCAAACCGACACAGGUAGGUAGGAAGAAGAUUCUAAGGCCAACGGGAGAAGGGUUGUUAAGGAACUCGGCAAAUUGACCCCGUAACUUCGGGAGAAGGGGUGCUGCAGCAAUGCAGCCGCAGAGAAUCGGCCCAAGCAACUGUUUACCAAAAACACAGGUUUGUGCUAAAUCGAAAGAUGACGUAUACGAGCUGACGCCUGCCCGGUGCUGGAAGGUUAAGAGGAGAUGUGCAAGCAUUGAAUCGAAGCCCCAGUGAACGGCGGCCGUAACUAUAACGGUCCUAAGGUAGCGAAAUUCCUUGUCAGGUAAGUUCUGACCCGCAUGAAAGGCGUAAUGAUUUGGGCACUGUCUCAACAGCCCGCCCGGCGAAAUUGUAGUACCGGUGAAGAUGCCGGUUACCCGCGACAAGACGGAAAGACCCCAUGGAGCUUUACUGUAGCCUAAUAUUGGGUUUCGAUGUUGCAUGCACAGGAUAGAUGGGACACUGGGAAGCAGGUGCUUUGGCGCUUGUGGAGUGGCCGUUGGGAUACCAUCCUUGCGAUAUUGGAAUUCUAACCUGCGCCUUUGAAUCAAGGCGGGGGACAUUGUUAGGUGGGCAGUUUGACUGGGGCGGUCGCCUCCUAAAGAGUAACGGAGGCGUUCAAAGGUUCGCUCAGCUUGAACGGAAAUCAAGCAAAAGAGUGCAAACGCAGAAGCGAGCCUAACUGCGAGACUGACGGGUCGAGCAGUAACGAAAGUUGGAGUUAGUGAUCCGGUGGUAUGUGAGUGGAAAUGCCAUCGCUCAACGGAUAAAAGUUACCCUGGGGAUAACAGGCUGAUCUCCCCCAAGAGUCCACAUCGACGGGGAGGUUUGGCACCUCGAUGUCGGCUCAUCGCAUCCUGGGGCUGUAUUCGGUCCCAAGGGUUUGGCUGUUCGCCAAUUAAAGCGGUACGCGAGCUGGGUUCAGAACGUCGUGAGACAGUUCGGUCCCUAUCUGUCGUGGGCGCAGGAUAUUUGAUGGGAGCUGUUCCUAGUACGAGAGGACCGGAGCGGACGUACCUCUGGCGCACCAGUUGUUCUGCCAAGAGCAUAGCUGGGCAACUAUGUACGGAUCGGAUAAACGCUGAAAGCAUCUAAGCGUGAAGCCGACCCAAAGAUAAGAUAUCCCAUUGUUUCAAACAAGUAAGACCCCUUGAAGACUACAAGGUUGAUAGGCACGAUGUGUAAGUGGAGCGAUCCAUUCAGCAAGCGUGUACUAAUAGGUCGAGGGCUUGACCAC